rnacentral:rRNA from 1 species
AUUGAACGCUGGCGGAAUGCUUUACACAUGCAAGUCGAACGGCAGCACGGACUUCGGUCUGGUGGCGAGUGGCGAACGGGUGAGUAAUGUAUCGGAACGUGCCCAGUCGUGGGGGAUAACGUAGUGAAAAUUACGCUAAUACCGCAUACGAUCUAUGGAUGAAAGCGGGGGAUCGCAAGACCUCGCGCGAUUGGAGCGGCCGAUAUCAGAUUAGGUAGUUGGUGGGGUAAAGGCCCACCAAGCCAACGAUCUGUAGCUGGUCGGAGAGGACGACCAGACACACUGGAAAUGAGGCACGGUCCAGACUCCUACGGGAGGCAGCAGUGGGGAAUUUUGGUCAAUGGGCGAAAGCCUGAUCCAGCCAUUCCGCGUGCAGGAUGAAGGCCCUCGGGUUGUAAACUGCUUUUGUACAGAACGAAAAGGUUUCUACUAAUACUAGGAGCUCAUGACGGUACUGUAAGAAUAAGCACCGGCUAACUACGUGCCAGCCGCCGCAGUAA